rnacentral:rRNA from 1 species
UACGAAGGUCCCAAGCGUUGUUCGGAAUCACUGGGCGUAAAGGGAGCGUAGGCGGCGUGGUAAGUCAGAUGUGAAAUCCCGGGGCUCAACCCCGGAACUGCAUCCGAUACUGCCAUGCUUGAGGGUUGGAGAGGUAGCUGGAAUUCUUGGUGUAGCAGUGAAAUGCGUGGAUAUCAAGAGGAACACUCGUGGCGAAGGCGAGCUACUGGACAACAUCUGACGCUGAGGCUCGAAGGCUAGGGUAGCGAAAGGG